CUGCAUUGGCAUGCGUUGUUUCAUAUAAGUGAUUGGGACAUUUUUGUUGUGAGGAGACAUGAGUCAUAUUGCUAGCUAUUUGCUUUUUUUGGAUAGUGUAACCUAUACAUAUGUGUGGUUGUCUAUAGGUAAUGUAAUGCCAUAACUUGAUCCCAUUAUUUCACGUUGUUGUGGUUCAUAUUUUUACAUUGCUAGUUUUGAAAAGUG
rnacentral:lncRNA from 1 species